rnacentral:sRNA from 1 species
AUAGAGGAAUGUCCGAUUAAGAACGCCGCUUUGCGCGGCAACAUCGGACCACCUGGCAUGGCCAG